GAGGCGCUGUGGCAGGGCCGGAUGCUCGGAGGCCGAGGGCUUCCGGUGGCGGCCGCUGGGUACCGGGCACGUUCGUGUCGUACAGCGCGGCG
rnacentral:tRNA from 1 species